GUCAUACCAUCCUGAAGGUGCUGGAUCUCAUCUGAUCUCAGAAGCUAAGCAGGGUCGGGCCUGGUUAGUACUUGAAUGGGAGACACAUGUUUAUCACAAUACAAUUCACAAUAGCAAAGACAGGGAAU
rnacentral:rRNA from 1 species